AGAGCAUUGCGAAGGGGAAGACCUGGGCCCGUUCUGAAAUAAAAAAAUUUAGGACAAGUUGAAACCUGAGACGUUUGAAAGCAUUAGGCGAGUCUGAACUUAUGACUUACUUAUUAACCCUUUAGUUACAGCUUGUUAGACGACCUACUAUUUUUGCCUAGCAUUUAUAUAGAUUUUAUAGGCAUGCUUUCUAGGCGAGACAAAAAUGCAAACCUAUAAGCAUGAUUUCUAUAUGAAGUUGAUGCAAUAACAAAAGCAUAUAGACAUGGUAUCAAGAUAAGGGAAAAUGGGAAAGCAAUUAAUAUGUUAAAGCUUAAAUAAAAAUGUUGAAUGUAAACAAACAAGGGAAAGGAGAGGAGCGGGUUAAACAUAUUAAAGCUUAAUAUAAACAGACCAGGGAAAGGGAAAAAGGUUGAGCAUUUGAACUUGAACAUAACAGGCAAGGGAACAAGGGAAAGGGAUUAAACAUACAGAGCUUAAGUUGAAAUAACAUAACAGACAAAGAAAGGGGAAAGUAAACAGAUAGUUGAAGGUUAAUAAUUGAAAGUAGGAGCCUACCAGUGCAACUUGAAGAACAUAGCAAGUAUAGAUUCUAUAAUUAGCCUAGGCUUUCAGCCGGCUAAUUCUUAGCAAAGAGAGUAAGUAACAGAGAAGAGGAGAGCAGAGAGUUUUCAGUGAGUAAGAGUAGAGAGAAUUCGUGUAUUAGUCUGUGCUAGUGAGAAAGAG
rnacentral:lncRNA from 1 species